rnacentral:tRNA from 1 species
CGAGGCGUGGCUCAGUUUGGCUAGAGCGCUGUCUUAGGGAGGCAGAGGUCGCAAGUUCAAAUCUUGUCGCCUCGA